CAGCACCUCAAGUGGUCAGGAUGAUUAUUGGGCCUAAAGCAUCCGUAGCCGGCGCUGUAAGUUUUCGGUUAAAUCUGUACGCUCAACGUACAGGCUGCCGGGAAUACUGCAGCGCUAGGGAGUGGGAGAGGUAGACGGUACUCGGUAGGAAGGGGUAAAAUCCUUUGAUCUAUUGAUGACCACCUGUGGCGAAGGCGGUCUACCAGAACACGUCCGACGGUGAGGGAUGAAAACUGAGGGAGCAAACCGGAUUAGAUACCCGAGUAGUCC
rnacentral:rRNA from 1 species